CCUACGGGUGGCAGCAGUGGGGAAUUUUGGACAAUGGGCGCAAGCCUGAUCCAGCAAUGCCGCGUGCAGGAUGAAGGCCUUCGGGUUGUAAACUGCUUUUGUACGGAACGAAACGGCGAGCUCUAAUACAGUUUGCUAAUGACGGUACCGUAAGAAUAAGCACCGGCUAACUACGUGCCAGCAGCCGCGGUAAUACGUAGGGUGCGAGCGUUAAUCGGAAUUACUGGGCGUAAAGCGUGCGCAGGCGGUGAUGUAAGACAGUUGUGAAAUCCCCGGGCUCAACCUGGGAACUGCAUCUGUGACUGCAUCGCUAGAGUACGGCAGAGGGGGAUGGAAUUCCGCGUGUAGCAGUGAAAUGCGUAGAUAUGCGGAGGAACACCGAUGGCGAAGGCAAUCCCCUGGGCCUGUACUGACGCUCAUGCACGAAAGCGUGGGGAGCA
rnacentral:rRNA from 1 species